AUUGAACGCUGGCGGCAGGCCUAACACAUGCAAGUCGAGCGGAUGAAGGGAGCUUGCUCCUGGAUUCAGCGGCGGACGGGUGAGUAAUGCCUAGGAAUCUGCCUGGUAGUGGGGGAUAACGUCCGGAAACGGGCGCUAAUACCGCAUACGUCCUGAGGGAGAAAGUGGGGGAUCUUCGGACCUCACGCUAUCAGAUGAGCCUAGGUCGGAUUAGCUAGUUGGUGGGGUAAAGGCCUACCAAGGCGACGAUCCGUAACUGGUCUGAGAGGAUGAUCAGUCACACUGGCGGGGGGAGCAGGUACGGACUCGGGGGGGAGGCAGAGGUGAGGAGUGUAAGAGAAUGGGCGAAUGGUUGAACGAGUCGGGCGGGUUGGGGGAAGAAGUUCGUCGGGUGCUAAAGUGCGUUGAGUUGGGAGGAAAGACAGUAAGUUAAUUCCGGGCUGGUUUGACGUGAAGAACAGAAUACACACGGGCUCACUCCCUGCCAGCAGCCAAGGAAAUAGACGAAGAGCCCCCGUCCGCCC
rnacentral:rRNA from 1 species